rnacentral:rRNA from 1 species
GGUCAAGUGAAGAAGCGCAUACGGUGGAUGCCUUGGCAGUCAGAGGCGAUGAAAGACGUGGUAGCCUGCGAAAAGCUUCGGGGAGUCGGCAAACAGACUUUGAUCCGGAGAUCUCUGAAUGGGGGAACCCACCUAGGAUAACCUAGGUAUCUUGUACUGAAUCCAUAGGUGCAAGAGGCGAACCAGGGGAACUGAAACAUCUAAGUACCCUGAGGAAAAGAAAUCAACCGAGAUUCCCUUAGUAGUGGCGAGCGAACGGGGAUUAGCCCUUAAGCUUCAUUGAUUUUAGCGGAACGCUCUGGAAAGUGCGGCCAUAGUGGGUGAUAGCCCCGUACGCGAAAGGAUCUUUGAAGUGAAAUCGAGUAGGACGGAGCACGAGAAACUUUGUCUGAACAUGGGGGGACCAUCCUCCAAGGCUAAAUACUACUGACUGACCGAUAGUGAACCAGUACCGUGAGGGAAAGGCGAAAAGAACCCCGGAGAGGGGAGUGAAAUAGAACCUGAAACCGUAUGCGUACAAGCAGUGGGAGCCUACUUGUUAGGUGACUGCGUACCUUUUGUAUAAUGGGUCAGCGACUUAUAUUCAGUGGCAAGCUUAACCGUAUAGGGUAGGCGUAGCGAAAGCGAGUCUUAAUAGGGCGUUUAGUCGCUGGGUAUAGACCCGAAACCGGGCGAUCUAUCCAUGAGCAGGUUGAAGGUUAGGUAACACUGACUGGAGGACCGAACCCACUCCCGUUGAAAAGGUAGGGGAUGACUUGUGGAUCGGAGUGAAAGGCUAAUCAAGCUCGGAGAUAGCUGGUUCUCCUCGAAAGCUAUUUAGGUAGCGCCUCAUGUAUCACUCUGGGGGGUAGAGCACUGUUUCGGCUAGGGGGUCAUCCCGACUUACCAAACCGAUGCAAACUCCGAAUACCCAGAAGUGCCGAGCAUGGGAGACACACGGCGGGUGCUAACGUCCGUCGUGAAAAGGGAAACAACCCAGACCGCCAGCUAAGGUCCCAAAGUUGUGGUUAAGUGGUAAACGAUGUGGGAAGGCUUAGACAGCUAGGAGGUUGGCUUAGAAGCAGCCAUCCUUUAAAGAAAGCGUAAUAGCUCACUAGUCGAGUCGGCCUGCGCGGAAGAUGUAACGGGGCUCAAACCACACACCGAAGCUGCGGGUGUCACGCAAGUGACGCGGUAGAGGAGCGUUCUGUAAGCCUGUGAAGGUGAGUUGAGAAGCUUGCUGGAGGUAUCAGAAGUGCGAAUGCUGACAUGAGUAACGACAAUGGGUGUGAAAAACACCCACGCCGAAAGACCAAGGGUUCCUGCGCAACGUUAAUCGACGCAGGGUUAGUCGGUUCCUAAGGCGAGGCUGAAAAGCGUAGUCGAUGGGAAACAGGUUAAUAUUCCUGUACUUCUGGUUACUGCGAUGGAGGGACGGAGAAGGCUAGGCCAGCUUGGCGUUGGUUGUCCAAGUUUAAGGUGGUAGGCUGAAAUCUUAGGUAAAUCCGGGGUUUCAAGGCCGAGAGCUGAUGACGAGUCGUCUUUUAGAUGACGAAGUGGUUGAUGCCAUGCUUCCAAGAAAAGCUUCUAAGCUUCAGGUAACCAGGAACCGUACCCCAAACCGACACAGGUGGUCGGGUAGAGAAUACCAAGGCGCUUGAGAGAACUCGGGUGAAGGAACUAGGCAAAAUGGCACCGUAACUUCGGGAGAAGGUGCGCCGGCUAGGGUGAAGGAUUUACUCCGUAAGCUCUGGCUGGUCGAAGAUACCAGGCCGCUGCGACUGUUUAUUAAAAACACAGCACUCUGCAAACACGAAAGUGGACGUAUAGGGUGUGACGCCUGCCCGGUGCCGGAAGGUUAAUUGAUGGGGUUAGCGCAAGCGAAGCUCUUGAUCGAAGCCCCGGUAAACGGCGGCCGUAACUAUAACGGUCCUAAGGUAGCGAAAUUCCUUGUCGGGUAAGUUCCGACCUGCACGAAUGGCGUAACGAUGGCGGCGCUGUCUCCACCCGAGACUCAGUGAAAUUGAAAUCGCUGUGAAGAUGCAGUGUAUCCGCGGCUAGACGGAAAGACCCCGUGAACCUUUACUGUAGCUUUGCACUGGACUUUGAGCCUGCUUGUGUAGGAUAGGUGGGAGGCUUUGAAGCGUGGACGCCAGUUCGCGUGGAGCCAUCCUUGAAAUACCACCCUGGCAUGCUUGAGGUUCUAACUCUGGUCCGU